CGUUUGGGCUUGGAAGAAAGGCUUGCCCUGCAGCAAGCAUGGCACAACGUGUGGUGGGCUUGACUUUGGGGUCAUUAAUUCAAUGCUUUGAGUGGGAGAGAGUUAGUGAGAAGACGAUUGACAUGGCUGAAGGUAAAGGAAUCAACAUGCCUAAAGUUAUUCCCUUGGAAGCUAUGUGUAAAGCGCGCCCUCUUAUGAACAAGUUUCUAUCUUGA
rnacentral:lncRNA from 1 species